GUUGUAUAGUCAAGUAAUUAAGUGCAUGUGGUGGAUGCCUUGGCAGUCAGAGGCGAUGAAAGACGUGAUAGCCUGCGAAAAGCUCCGGGGAGGCGGCAAAUAUCCUUUGAUCCGGAGAUGUCUGAAUGGGGGAACCCACCUACUUUAAGGUAGGUAUUGCAACAUGAAUACAUAGUGUUGCAAGGCGAACGAGGGGAAGUGAAACAUCUCAGUACCCUUAGGAAAAGAAAUCAAUUGAGAUUCCCUCAGUAGCGGCGAGCGAACGGGGAUCAGCCCAUUAAGUUAUGUGUGUUUUAGUGGAACGCUCUGGGAAGUGCGAACGUAGAGGGUGAUAUUCCCGUACACGAAAGGGCACACAUAAUGAUGACGAGUAGGGCGAGGCACGUGAAACCUUGUCUGAAUAUGGGGGGACCAUCCUCCAAGGCUAAAUACUCCUGACUGACCGAUAGUGAACCAGUACCGUGAGGGAAAGGCGAAAAGAACCCCUGUGAGGGGAGUGAAAUAGAUCCUGAAACCGCAUGCAUACAAGCAGUGGGAGCACCUUCGUGGUGUGACUGCGUACCUUUUGUAUAAUGGGUCAGCGACUUAUAUUCAGUAGCAAGGUUAACCGUAUAGGGGAGCCGUAGAGAAAUCGAGUCUUAAUAGGGCGUUUAGUUGCUGGGUAUAGACCCGAAACCAGGCGAUCUAUCCAUGAGCAGGUUGAAGGUUGGGUAACACUAACUGGAGGACCGAACCCACUGUCGUUGAAAAGCCAGGGGAUGACUUGUGGAUAGGGGUGAAAGGCUAAUCAAGCCUGGUGAUAGCUGGUUCUCCCCGAAAGCUAUUUAGGUAGCGCCUCGGACGAAUACCAUAGGGGGUAGAGCACUGUUUCGGCUAGGGGGUCAUCCCGACUUACCAAACCGAUGCAAACUCCGAAUACCUAUGAGUACUAUCCGGGAGACAGACUGCGGGUGCUAACGUCCGUAGUCAAGAGGAAAACAAUCCAGACCGCCAGCUAAGGCCCCAAAAUCAUAGUUAAGUGGGAAACGAUGUGGGAAGGCAUAGACAGCUAGGAGGUUGGCUUANNNNNNNNNNNNNNNNNNNNNNNNNNNNNNNGAAGCAGCCACCCUUUAAAGAAAGCGUAAUAGCUCACUAGUCGAGUCGGCCUGCGCGGAAGAUGUAACGGGGCUAAAACUAUGUGCCGAAGCUGCGGAUGUAUACUUUGUAUACGUGGUAGGGGAGCGUUCUGUAAGCCGAUGAAGGUGUGUUGAGAAGCAUGCUGGAGGUAUCAGAAGUGCGAAUGCUGACGUGAGUAACGACAAAACGGGUGAAAAACCCGUUCGCCGAAAGACCAAGGGUUCCAGUCCAACGUUAA
rnacentral:rRNA from 1 species